rnacentral:lncRNA from 1 species
AUGCAAAGUAAAUUGUCUGUAAUGAGAUUUCAAACAGGCAACAUUUGGGUUGCUAGACGUUCGCGAUUUUCGCCCACUCAUCCACCCCGACCAACCACCUUACCUGUUUUGGCCUUAAGUCACCUACUCGGGGGAGGCGAAGGUCGAGAGCCAUGCGAAGGUCGAAGCCACAUGGGUCUACCGGUCGCCACUCAUUGGUCUCCCUUAGACUGCUGCGCCACUUGGGAGGCCCUAAUAUUUACUAUGUUACAACUAGUCUAUGAGACCAGGCUGGUGCAUCCUGCUGGAGGCAUGCAUUGCAUGUUAGGGCUUUUCAGUCCCAAAUGGCUGUGAUCCUUUGAACACGUUGGUUGGGGGUAAUGAAACAACUGAGCCCCAUUUAAUGAAGGGAAGCGAAGUUGGCGGAUGGGUGAUUAGCACGUGGAGCUUGGCAAAAGGGGACUAAUUGUAAUCCAAACCCAACCUUAAUUUACUCCUCGUGAUGCAGAGGUUUAAAACUCAAUUUUGGUCAAAGUCAUUCUAGUCUAAAACUAUCCUAUUCACACUUUGUAGUCAGUUUUGACACUAGAAUAAAUGUCUCUGACUCGAUGUCACAGGUAAGGGAUUAGUUGGUUUUUAGCGGCAGUCACUCUCUAAAUGACAAAAUUUCAGGGAACAUUAGUGGAGUGUAAUGUGUAGUGUACCUACCGAAAUGAAAGCACUCGUUGUAUUUUUGUCAACACUAUUGAUAAAAAGAUGAGAUGCCUGACUCUUUUCAACAUUAUGGAGGACAAUGAUCAUUUCCUUUGCCAAAAUGCUUGUAUACAAAUAACAUUUUUGGCAUUUAUUCAGUGGUGUCUUUAGUAUUCCAUCAGUGUGCAUCUCCUUCCGUUAAGCAUCUCCAGAUCAUCAGCUCUGUGCUGGUGAUUUCACAGGUCACAGCUUGAGCAGGCUGCAGGAAGAGCCUAGACCCAUGUAAUGUCCUGCUAAAUGGAUUAUAGACAUAUCAAUGCAUGUCCCACUCAAUUACACUUUAUGUGUGAAUACAGGCUAGCUGCAGGCUUGUACUCUAUAGCAAUAGCCAGUGAUACAGUCAAGGACAGUGUUAUCAAUACAAUUUAUACAAUCAAUACAAGCAAUUAUGGAUGGGAUUGUUUUUUCCCAGCUAGUUUACUUGAUGUAUAGAAUUGGAAAAACACUUAACUUUGGCAUUAGGAAUUUGCUUGGAUGACAAUGGCAUAUAGGCUGCUGUAGUGUUUGAUAUUCCUAAAUUCUACUGUAUGAUUGUCUGAUGGUGUCACCUUAGUUCCUUUGUUAUUUCUUGUUUAGGUUGGUCAGGGCGUGAGUUGGGGUGGGCAUUCUAUGUGUUGUUCUAGUUUUGGUUUUCUACGUGUUUGGCCUGGUAUGGUUCUCAAUCAGAGGCAGCCGUCAAUCGUUGUCUCUGAUUGAGAAUCAUACUUAGGUAGCCUGUUUUUCCCACUUUAUUUGUGGGUAGUUGUCUUCUGUUUUGUGUGUUUGCACCUUACAGGACUGUUUCGUUUCACUCUCUUUGUUGUUUUGUUGUUCAGUUGAUUUAUUAAAUAUUAACAUGGGACACAUACCACGCUGCGCAUUGGUCCGAUCUUGACAACUCUUCCUCAGAUGACGAGGAUAACCGUUACAGAUGGAUUAGGGAUUGACUGAGUGCAGGUGUACGAGGACACCCUGGAGGGUGUGUACCUGCUGCUGAGGGAGAUGCAGGAGACCCUGGUGGAGCACAAGAGGUUCUGGCAGGUGGCCAAGGUCCAGAUGGCCCAAGUGUGCACCCUAAAGAGACUGCCAUCAACUGGAAGAUAAUCGAGAGACUGCCCUACUACAAGUAUAUGAUUAUUACACAGAAGAAAAAUGCAACAUGUAACAAUUUCAAAGAUUUUACUGAGUUUCAGUUCAUAUAAGGAAAUCCGCCAAUUUAAAUGAAUUCAUUAGGCCCUAAUCUAUGGAUUUCAUAUGAAUGGGAAUACAGAUAUGCAUCUGUUGGUCACAGAUACCUUAAAAAAAACAUAGGUAGGGGCGUGGAUCAGGAAACCAGUCAGUAUCUGGUGUGGCAACUGUUUGCCUCAUGCAGCGUGACACAUCUUCUUAGCAUAGAAUUGAAUCAGGCUUGUGGCCUGUGGAAUGGUGUCCCACUCCUCUUCAAUGGCUGUGCGAAGUUGCUGGAUAUUGGCGGGCCUCAGGAUCUCAUCACGGUAUCUCUGUGCAUUCAAAUUGCUGUAUGCCUGCCCAUACCAUAACCCCACCUCCACCAUGGAACACUGGUCACAAUGUUGACAUCAGCAAACCACUCACCCCACGAUUCCAUACACGCUGUCUGCCAUCUGCCCAGUUCAGUUGAAACUCAUCCACACUUCUCCAGCAUGACAGUGGCCUUCGAAAGUGAGCAUUUGCCCACUGAAGUCAGUUACGAUGCCAAAUUGCAGUCAGGUCAAGACCAUAGUGAGGACAACGAGCACACAGAUGAGCUUCCCUGAGACCGUUUCUGACUGUUUGUGCAGAAAUUCACAGUUAUAUCAGCUGUCCGGGUGGCUAGUCUCAGACUAUGCUGCAGGUGAAGAAGCUGGAUGUGGAGGUCCUGGGCUUACACGAUGCCUGUGGUUGUGAGGCUGGUUGGACUUACUGCCAAAUUCUCUAAAAUGAUGGAGAUAAAUUAUCAUUAAAUUCUCUGGCAACAGCGCUGGUGGACAGCAUACCAUUUGCACACUCCCUCAAAACUUGAGAUAUCUGUGGCAUUGUGUUGUGUGACAAAACUGCCUAUUUUAGUG